GAUGAACGCUGGCGGCGUGCUUAACACAUGCAAGUCGAACGAGGUCCAACCUUCGGGUGAAGACCUAGUGGCGAACGGGUGAGUAACACGUGGGGAACCUGCCCUUCUCUCUGGGAUAACGUCGAGAAAUCGGUGCUAAUACCGGAUACUCCUUGCGGAUCGCAUGGUCUGCUCGGGAAAGCUCCGGCGGAGGAGGAUGGCCCCGCGGCCCAUUAGCUAGUUGGUGAGGUAACGGCCCACCAAGGCGACGAUGGGUAGCCGAGCUGAGAGGCUGAUCGGCCACACUGGGACUGAGACACGGCCCAGACUCCUACGGGAGGCAGCAGUGGGGAAUUUUGCACAAUGGGCGCAAGCCUGAUGCAGCGACGCCGCGUGCGGGAUGAAGGCCCUCGGGUUGUAAACCGCUUUCAGCAGGGACGAAACUGACGGUACCUGCAGAAGAAGCCCCGGCUAACUACGUGCCAGCCGCCGCGGUAAAAC
rnacentral:rRNA from 1 species